GCCUGGCUAGCUCAAUCGGUAGAGCGUGUGGCUCUUAACCACAAGGUUGCGAGUUCGACCCUCGCGUUAGGCU
rnacentral:tRNA from 11 species